GAUGAACGCUGACAGAAUGCUUAACACAUGCAAGUCAACUUGAAUUUGGGUUUUUAACUUAGAUUUGGGUGGCGGACGGGUGAGUAACGCGUAAAGAACUUGCCUCACAGCUAGGGACAACAUUUAGAAAUGAAUGCUAAUACCUGAUAUUAUGAUUUUAAGGCAUCUUAGAAUUAUGGAAGCUAUAAGCACUGUGAGAGAGCUUUGCGUCCCAUUAGCUAGUUGGAGAGGUAACAGCUCACCAAGGCGAUGAUGGGUAGCCGGCCUGAGAGGGUGAACGGCCACAAGGGGACUGAGACACGGCCCUUACUCCUACGGGAGGCAGCAGUGGGGAAUAUUGGACAAUGGACCGAAAGUCUGAUCCAGCAAUUCUGUGUGCACGAUGAAGUUUUUCGGAAUGUAAAGUGCUUUCAGUUGGGAAGAAAGAAAUGACGGUACCAACAGAAGAAGUGACGGCUAAAUACGUGCCAGCAGCCGCGGUAAUACGUAUGUCACGAGCGUUAUCCGGAUUUAUUGGGCGUAAAGCGCGUCUAGGUGGUUAUGUAAGUCUGAUGUGAAAAUGCAGGGCUCAACUCUGUAUUGCGUUGGAAACUGUAUAACUAGAGUACUGGAGAGGUAAGCGGAACUACAAGUGUAGAGGUGAAAUUCGUAGAUAUUUGUAGGAAUGCCGAUGGGGAAGCCAGCUUACUGGACAGAUACUGACGCUAAAGCGCGAAAGCGUGGGUAGCAAACAGG
rnacentral:rRNA from 1 species